UUGAUUCCAGGGUUUGUCCCUCUAACCUCAAGCCCCCAGAAAUCUCCCUCUUGUGAGAUCUCCUUCUUCGCGGUGAUACUUUCUCCCUCAAACCUCAAGCCCCCAGAAAUCUCCCUCUUGUGCGAUCUCCUUCUUCGCGGUGCUCUUCCCUCGUGUGCGAUCCCCUGGUUCCGUUUACGAGAAGGAAAGAGGAAGGCGGCUCAUUGAUGAAAAGCCUGUGUGUUGAAUUACCGUCGAAGAAGAAGCCAUCUCCUCCGCGUUUGGCAGGAAGGGUUUGUGCCUGCUAUCAAAGGAUCAGGCAGUUAUGAUUAGCAGUAGAAAUGGUUGGCUUUGGCAUAGUAUUUAGCAAAUAAUUGGUUGCUAUGCACAAACAUAAGUUGGUCAUGGAUCAAAUGUUGAACGGCUUGAGACAACUGCAACUUUGGAACAAAAAUUACCUUUAAAAGUUGUAAUUUUUUUUCAAUUAUGUGGCACUGUAUUUGUACAAUGAACACCUGAGAAACAAUAGCAUAAGAGUUCCAUUGGUAUUGUUUUAGUA